rnacentral:rRNA from 1 species
GUAGGUGGCAAGCGUUGUCCGGAAUUAUUGGGCGUAAAGCGCGCGCAGGCGGUUCCUUAAGUCUGAUGUGAAAGCCCCCGGGCUCAACCGGGGAGGGUCAUUGGAAACUGGGGAACUUGAGUGCAGAAGAGGAGAGCGGAAUUCCACGUGUAGCGGUGAAAUGCGUAGAGAUGUGGAGGAACACCAGUGGCGAAGGCGGCUCUCUGGUCUGUAACUGACGCUGAGGCGCGAAAGCGUGGGGAGCGAACAGGAUUAGAUACCCUGGUAGUCCACGCCGUAAACGAUGAGUGCUAAGUGUUAGAGGGUUUCCGCCCUUUAGUGCUGCAGCAAACGCAUUAAGCACUCCGCCUGGGGAGUACGGCCGCAAGGCUG